GGGAACACAAAAAAAAAAUGAAGCUGAUCAGGAUGUUAUAGCAGCCACACAAAGUGGACCAACAAUAUAUAAAUAUUACAGCUAUUUAUGAGGCCAUUUCAAGUUUUUACUCGGCCAACAAAACUCAUCUAAAAGUCUCUCUGUUUUCUGUAAUAAUUAAUUAUUUAAACAUGUAAUUUUUGUGUGAAAAGAAACUAACAUACAUUUGAUAUUACAGUUGGACCAGUAGUAGUUACUGUCUGUAAUUUGGUAGUAUACAACAAAAUACUAGCUGUCAUAGGAAGAUUCUAAGUUGACAAAAAAAAUUGAAACCAUCCAACCAAAAUUAGGUACUGUAAUUUAUUAAUAUUUAUAAUCAUUCCUAUUUGAUAACAAUCAUAUUAUAUUUAGAUCUAAUUGUUCAAAUAGACCUGUUGCAAUGAGUACAUACCAUUAAAAUGAUACUGGGAAGAUUAAAAACAUUGAUAUAGUUACAAUUUGAAUUGUCUAGGAUUGAUCAAGCAAUUGGUUGAAUGUAAUAAU
rnacentral:lncRNA from 1 species